rnacentral:tRNA from 1 species
GGUGAGGUGUCCGAGUGGCUGAAGGAGCACGCCUGGAAAGCGUGUAUACGUUCAUAGCGUAUCAAGGGUUCAAAUCCCUUCCUCACCGCCA